rnacentral:lncRNA from 1 species
CGGCCGGCGCGGUGCCGGGGCUGGGGGCUGAGGAGGGGGGGAUGGCGGCGGGCCGAGGGGAGCCCCGCGGGGGAGGGGCCCAUUGUUAGCGGCGGCCGCGGCGGCGGCGGGGGGAGGGGCGGCCCCGGCCCCCGCGGCGGCGAAGUUGAGGGGCCUGGGGGGGGCGGCGGGGCCGGGCCGGGGCGGGGAGCGGCCGGGGAGCCCCGACCCUUGGCGGAGCUGUGCCCGCAGUGCCCUGGCGGGGCGGCCCAGCCCGGCGCCUUUCUUUCUCCGUGCCUUUCUGUCGUUCUCUUUUUUUUUUUUUCCUCCCCCCCUCCUUCUCUGCCCCUUCCCGGCGCGUGUUGCAUUGCAGCAGCUGGGCUGCACCCUGCGAGAUCGAUACGGAGCGGGCGGCGGGGAGGGGGAAUCCCCCCUCGGGGGAUCCGCGAUGUAAACAGCGCCGGGCGGGGGCCGCCCGCUCCCACUCGGGACCCGGCUCCGUGCGCCCCAUUCAUUUGUCCCCGCGGCGCUCCCGCCCCGUUCCUCCUCCCGUUUCCGUCGUCCUCUCGUCGGAUCCGGCCCCAGCUGCCCCGCAGCCCCCAGGGGCUUCCAGCCGCUUUGUGUUGCCGAGGCCGGGGGCCCCUCCGAGUGCGGAGAGGUCCGCAGGGUGAGAACGGGUCGAUCCCUCUGUUGCGGCGCUGUGUCCGUUCAUGCAGAAUCCUAAUUACGGGUCUGAACUUCAAGGUUUUUGCUUUUGUUUUGUUUUUCCCCUUUUCCCCGUGUGCCUUCUAUGCCAACGGUAGCACUGCAGCUGGAAGCGGUGGGACGUGGUUUGUCCCUGCCGUUCUGUUGGAAAAUGCUUUCCCGUAUUUCCCUCUCACUCUCUUUGUUAGCCGUAAGCAUUCGCAUGCUCCUUUCGCCCUCGUUUCGCGUUGUGCUGAUUUAUUUUCACCCAUCUGCAUCGCUGUAAAAGCGGGGUGCCCCGCAAGUACAAACUUACAACUUGAGCUCCCGGCUCACACCCGGACCCUUCAAACAUGGGGUGCCCCUGACUCCCUUGGGCAGUCCUUAGCACGGACUUCCACCAUAAACCUUUGGAGAGGGCCAUGUAUUAAUCCAGUUUCUAUGCUGGCAAAGUGUGGUCGGCGCGGAGCAAGGGAAGGUGUCCCAGCACCUUGCUGCUGCUGA